rnacentral:rRNA from 3 species
GUGGACGCCAGUCUGCGUGGAGCCGACCUUGAAAUACCACCCUUUAAUGUUUGAUGUUCUAACGUGGACCCGUAAUCCGGGUUGCGGACAGUGUCUGGUGGGUAGUUUGACUGGGGCGGUCUCCUCCUAAAGAGUAACGGAGGAGCACGAAGGUUGGCUAAUCCUGGUCGGACAUCAGGAGGUUAGUGCAAUGGCAUAAGCCAGCUUGACUGCGAGCGUGACGGCGCGAGCAGGUGCGAAAGCAGGUCAUAGUGAUCCGGUGGUUCUGAAUGGAAGGGCCAUCGCUCAACGGAUAAAAGGUACUCCGGGGAUAACAGGCUGAUACCGCCCAAGAGUUCAUAUCGACGGCGGUGUUUGGCACCUCGAUGUCGGCUCAUCACAUCCUGGGGCUGAAGUAGGUCCCAAGGGUAUGGCUGUUCGCCAUUUAAAGUGGUACGCGAGCUGGGUUUAGAACGUCGUGAGACAGUUCGGUCCCUAUCUGCCGUGGGCGCUGGAGAACUGAGGGGGGCUGCUCCUAGUACGAGAGGACCGGAGUGGACGCAUCACUGGUGUUCGGGUUGUCAUGCCAAUGGCACUGCCCGGUAGCUAAAUGCGGAAGAGAUAAGUGCUGAAAGCAUCUAAGCACGAAACUUGCCCCGAGAUGAGUUCUCCCUGAGACUUAGAGUCUCCUGAAGGAACGUUGAAGACGACGACGUUGAUAGGCCGGGUGUGUAAGCGCAGCGAUGCGUUGAGCUAACCGGUACUAAUGAACCGUGAGG